rnacentral:misc_RNA from 1 species
UGCGCCUCCUAAAUAUUCUGCAAUUAUAUUGGCUCCUCUUUUCAUUGCAUGAUCCAAGCUCUCCAUAAUCAGCACCCCAGCACCUUCUCCCAUGACAAAACCAUCGCGAUCCUUGUCCCAAGGUCUUGAAGCUUUCUUGGGGUCUUCGUUUCUUUGAGACAAUGCUCUGCAAGCUAUAAAACCACCGACACCAGUAGGCAUGAUAGCAGCCUCACCAUAACGUCUGCUUCGCCUCUUCUAAUGUGAUUAGCAGCUGCAUAGAAGCAGUAAUUUGCAGUUGCGCAAGCAGUUGAAAUGGAG